rnacentral:rRNA from 1 species
GAUGAACGCUGGCGGCGUGCCUAAUACAUGCAAGUCGAGCGAAGCGGGGACGGGUGAGUAACACGUGGAUAACCUCCUAUACGACUGGGAUAACUUCGGGAAACCGGAGCUAAACCGGAUCCUUAUAGAUGGAUCCGCGCUUCAUUAGCUAGUUGGUAAGGUAACGGCUUACCAAGGCCACGAUGCAUAGCCGACCGGAGCGGGUGAUCUGCCACACUGGAACUGAGACACGGUCCAGACUCCUACGUUAGGCAGCAGUGGGGAAUCUUCCGCAAUGGGCGAAGUCCUGACGGGGCAACGCCGCGUGAGGGAUGGAGGUCUUCGGAUCUUAGAACUCUGUUAUUAGGAAAGCGGUACCUAAUCAGAAAGCCACGGCUAACUACGUGCCAGCAGCCGCGGUAAUUC